UAUGUGAUCGUCUCUCGCAUAUCAAUAAGCGGAGGAAAAGAAACUAACAAGGAUUCCCCUAGUAACGGCGAGUGAAGCGGGAAGAGCUCAAAUUUGAAAUCUUAAAGGGUUUCCCUUUACGAAUUGUAGUUUAAAGAAGUGUUUUCUGUUGAGGUUUUGGUAAAAGUUCUUUGGAAUAGGACAUCAUAGAGGGUGAGAAUCCCGUAUUUGACCUUUACUUUCAACUUUGUGAUACACUUUCAAAGAGUCGGAUUGUUUGGGAAUGCAGUCCAAAAUGGGUGGUAAAUUUCAUCUAAAGCUAAAUAUUGGCGAGAGACCGAUAGCGAACAAGUACCGUGAGGGAAAGAUGAAAAGAACUUUGAAAAGAGAGUUAAACAGUACGUGAAAUUGUCAAAAGGGAAGCGUUUGACACCAGUGUUGUUUUUCUGAAAAUCAAUUAAAGAACUGUUUAUGCUAAGCUGUUUAGACUUUAUCAGCUAUCUGUUUAGCUUUUGAGCUUUUCUUUAAUGCACUUUUCAGUUAACAAGUCAACAUCAAUUUCCUUUUGCUGUAAAAAAGCUUGAGGAAGGUGGCUUGAGAUUCGUCUUAAGUGUUUAUAGCCUCUUGCCUAUGCAGUCGGAGAGAUUGAGGUCUGCAGCGUAGAUCCUUCGGGGCUAAAUGCAUUUGUGCUAAGUUAUAGCAUUUUAUAGACAACUUGUUGACUAUGAUUUGUCUUGUAGCUUACUCGCUUAUGUUAUUUUACCUACGCUUAGGAUGUUGAGUAGCGACAUACGCAC
rnacentral:rRNA from 1 species